CGCAAGCGCAAAAAUUCCGCUACGUCGAAUUAUAAAUUGACAUAUUAUUUUCUUACGUCUCCAGUCCGUUUCUUACGUCUCCGUUGCGUCUACGUCUACGCUACGUCAAACUAUAAAUCCAACUUAACUCUCUUUAGAUGUUUCACGCAGGUAUCUCAAGGUCAUACUAAACUAAAUGUCAUUUUUAGUAAUGAUACGUUUUUUGAGAUGUCGCCAUGCACCUGGAGUGAAGAUUUCUUCUAUAUCACUGAGUCUGAGUGUCAUUAUAAAUUGUCAAUUGUCAUCAUUGUCAGUGUCAGUAUGCCUUUAUCUUUUAUCUUUAUGUCAGUAAAAAUGUUUAUCUGAUUGUUAGCAAUAAUAAAAAAUCCUGAUUUAGAUAAAAUGGAUUCAAAUACAGUUUUUGAAACAAAACGAAUGUGAUUUGAAAAUCCCUAGGAAGAUCAAAUUCCUAGCUUACAUUUGCAUGGUGAGUUCAACAAGUAUUUGUUAUUAGAGAACAAGUAACACAGAGUGGUGUAGGGAAGCAAACGAAUGUAACACCAAGACCAAUUGAAAGUCCUCAACAAGUAGAGAUGCACACAUGUUUCAAUCAUUUGAGAUACCCUUUUGUAGAAGUAUUUGGAAGAUAACUAUUAAUAAUUUCAUUUGUAAAGAUACGAUUUGUAAAAAAGUAUAUACAAAGUGGUUUUGCUGGUAUUAAAUAAAUAAAUAAAAAUAC